CGAAAUUCUGUCAAUAACACAGCUUCAAUGACCAUAAUGUUGUUUCGCAAUUUGAACCAGCUGUCUUGGACUCGAGCCCUAGUACAAACUCUAAUUGUACAAAACAAUGGUUGAAGCCAACCCAAUAUUGAUCUUAAUGGUAGAUGAGUCGCUACAUGGAGGCAAGUAUGCAGGUGGUUUCCGCAUGCUCGUCUCUGGUGUUCCUCCAUCUUUCACUAUCAUCACAAAGUUCAUACCCCAACUGAGAUGUCGAUCCAAAUGACAGUGCCAAAACCAAACACCUGCAACAAUCAUCCAGAGUGAAUCAACAUUGCAAACUACAAGUCAUAACAUAAUCAUCCUGCAAAUCCUCGGCCACAAAGUCAAACAAAGUUGGUGGAUAAUCAGGAAAGUCUGAGGUAUAAAACCCACUCAUGUUCCUGCAUUAUAACAUGUUUACUCAUAUGUCAGUUUCAAUGUUCAAGCAUUCCUCUAAUAUUAUGCCUUCUAAUGAUUCACUCAUAGUGCAUUAAAGCCUUAUUAGGAAAACCAGAAACAACUUGAAUUAUAUUUGGAUAUAGCAAAUA